rnacentral:rRNA from 1 species
AAUGAACGCUGGCGGCAGGCCUAACACAUGCAAGUCGAACGGAUCCUUCGGGAUUAGUGGCGGACGGGUGAGUAACGCGUGGGAACAUACCCUUUGGUACGGAAUAGCCUCGGGAAACUGGGAGUAAUACCGUAUGUGGUCGAGAGACGAAAGAUUUAUCGCCAAAGGAUUGGCCCGCGUUGGAUUAGGUAGUUGGUGGGGUAAUGGCCUACCAAGCCGACGAUCCAUAGCUGGUUUGAGAGGAUGAUCAGCCACACUGGGACUGAGACACGGCCCAGACUCCUACGGGAGGCAGCAGUGGGGAAUCUUAGACAAUGGGGGAGACCCUGAUCUAGCCAUGCCGCGUGAUCGAUGAAGGCCUUAGGGUUGUAAAGAUCUUUCAGGUGGGAAGAUAAUGACUGUACCAUCAGAAGAAGCCCCGGCUAACUCCGUGCCAGCCGCCGCGGUAA